rnacentral:rRNA from 1 species
CAGCCGCCACGGUAAUACGAAGGGGGCUAGCGUUGUUCGGAAUUACUGGGCGUAAAGCGCACGUAGGCGGAUUUUUAAGUCAGGGGUGAAAUCCCGAGGCUCAACCUCGGAACUGCCUUUGAUACUGGAGAUCUUGAGUUCGGAAGAGGUUGGUGGAACAGCUAGUGUAGAGGUGAAAUUCGUAGAUAUUAGCUAGAACACCAGUGGCGAGGGCGGCCAACUGGUCCGAUACUGACGCUGAGGUGCGAAAGCGUGGGGAGCAAACAGGAUUAGAUACCCCAGUAGUCCCUGUCUCUUAUAC